GUAUAUAUGACGCAUGUUUUUUUUCAGUUCUUCUUCGUUACUUGGAAUUCAAUAUUACAAUUCCGAUUCAUAUUCAACAUCGACAGGUUCCAUGGCUGUAUAGAAAAGGAACUGUCGAAGAAAGGGUCACUGUGAUUGUUAAAACGUUUCUUCGGUACCAUAAGGCAAAAUCGGCGAUUUUCUCUAUCAAGAGAUUGUAUCCAAAUACAAGAAUCAUUAUUGCUGACGACACUCCCCCGACGAACUUUACAAACCUGCAAGGUAUCAACAUGGAUCACUUUAGAAUGCCAGGCUUCACUGGCUACUUUGCGGGAAGAAAUCUAGGGCUGUCUCAAGUCUGGACUGAGUAUUUUCUCUACAUGGAUGACGACCUUUACUUUACCAAUGGAACAAGGCUGGAUGUCCUUGUCUCAUUUUUGGACAAGACUAAUUUUCACUUGGUAAGCGGAGCUGCAGAAGGAAAGAAAAGACAUGUGCACACUCUACGUGUUCUUGGAAACGGUACUUACUCUUGCCACAGAAAGGAGCAACGCCAUUAUCAGGAGAUAAAAGGUUUUCCGGGUUGUUUUGUUGCUGAUCUCGUCCCGAAUUUUUUUCUUG